GUUUGUCUUCCCCCUCUCCCGGUAUCUCUGGCUGCUGUUGGAGGGGGAGGCUGGUUGCCCCCACACCCCAGGACGCUGGUUGCUGUAAGGUGGAGGGAUCGACCAUCAUCUCCUCCUGGAACUCAGGCCGCCGCUGGGGAGAGAGACCAGUUGUCUCCUCUCCCUGUAUAUUAUACUGCCUCUGGGGACCUUGGCUGACUGCCCAGCAUCCCUGUAGGGCUGGCAGAGAGACUUCGGUCCCAUCUCCGCUUGCCAUCUCUCUGUGUCCCCAGGACAAGUCUAUGAGGUCGCCCACCUCUGGCUGCUGUUGGAGAGGGAGGCCGGUUGCCUCCCCUCCCCAGGACGCUGGUUGCUGUACGGGGGAGGGAUCUACCAUCACCUCCUCCUGGAACUCAGGCCGCCGCUGGGGAGAGAGACCGGUUGUCUCUUCCCUCUGUACGGUGCACUGCCGCUGGGAAGGGAGGUCGCUGCUCUCCUCUCCC